rnacentral:rRNA from 1 species
CGAACGAAGUAGCAAUACUUAGUGGCAGACGGGUGAGUAACAUGUAGGUAUCUUCCCAUUGGUGAGGAAUAACACGAGGAAACUUGUGCUAAUACCUCAUAAGUCUUUACGGAGAAAGCUUUAUGCGCCGAUGGAUGAGCCUGCACUUGAUUAGUUUGUUGGUAGGGUAAUGGCCUACCAAGACAAUGAUCAAUAGCUGAUUUGAGAGGAUGAUCAGCCACAUUGGGACUGAGACACGGCCCAAACUCCUACGGGAGGCAGCAGUAGGGAAUCUUGCACAAUGGGGGAAACCCUGAUGCAGCGAUGCCGCGUGAGUGAAGAAGGCCUUUGGGUUGUAAAGCUCUUUCGUCGGGGAAGAAAAUGACUGUACCCGAAUAAGAAGGUCCGGCUAACUUCGUGCCAGCAGCCGCGGUAAUACGAAGGGACCUAGCGUAGUUCGGAAUUACUGGGCUUAAAGAGUUCGUAGGUGGUUAAAAAAGUUGGUGGUGAAAUCCCAGAGCUUAACUCUGGAACUGCCAUCAAAACUUUUUAGCUAGAGUAUGAUAGAGGAAAGCAGAAUUUCUGGUGUAGAGGUGAAAUUCGUAGAUAUUAGAAAGAAUACCAAUUGCGAAGGCAGCUUUCUGGAUCAUUACUGACACUGAGGAACGAGAGCAUGGGUAGCGAAGAGGAUUAGAUACCCUCGUAGUCCAUGCCGUAAACGAUGUGUGUUAGACGUUGGAAAUUUAUUUUCUGUGUCGCAGCGAAAGCAAUAAACACACCGCCUGGGGAGUACGACCGCAAGGUUAAAACUCAAAUGAAUUGACGGGGACCCGCACAAGUAGUGGAGCAUGUGGUUUAAUUCGAAGAUACGCGCAGAACCUUACCAACACUUGACA